GCGGUUGUCAGUUGUCACGGCUAACUUCUCAAGCACAGAACCACACCACUGAAGUACAGCCAGAGGAGGAACUUACAGCUCUCGAUCUUCAUGGUGCAGACUUGCGUGUCGUGGGGGCUACUCGACCGCGAAACACGUCAUGCAGGAUCAUAGAUCAGAAGUCCUCCUCGUGCU